AUUGAACGCUGGCGGCAGGCCUAACACAUGCAAGUCGAGCGGAUGAAGGGAGCUUGCUCCUGGAUUCAGCGGCGGACGGGUGAGUAAUGCCUAGGAAUCUGCCUGGUAGUGGGGGAUAACGUCCGGAAACGGGCGCUAAUACCGCAUACGUCCUGAGGGAGAAAGUGGGGGAUCUUCGGACCUCACGCUAUCAGAUGAGCCUAGGUCGGAUUAGCUAGUUGGUGGGGUAAAGGCCUACCAAGGCGACGAUCCGUAACUGGUCUGAGAGGAUGAUCAGUCACACUGGAACUGAGACACGGUCCAGACUCCUACGGGAGGAGGCGGAGGGGAAUAUUGGACAAUGGGCGAAAGCCUGAUCCAGCCAUGCCGCGUGUGUGAAGAGGGUCUUCGGAUUGUAAAGCACUUUAAGUUGGGAGGAAGGGCAGUAAGUUAAUACCUUGCUGUUUUGACGUUACCAACAGAAUAAGCGCCGGCUAACUACGUG
rnacentral:rRNA from 1 species